AACGAACGCUGGCGGCGUGCCUAACACAUGCAAGUCGAGCGCGAAUGGAGCAAUCCUAGUAGAGCGGCGCACGGGUGCGUAACACGUGGGUAAUCUGCCUCAAAGCCCGGGAUAACCUGCCGAAAGGCAAGCUAAUACCGGAUAAGCCUACGGACUCUUCGGGGUCUGAAGGAAAAGGUGGCCUCUGUAUACAAGCUAUCACUUUGAGAUGAGCCCGCGGCCCAUCAGCUCGUUGGCGGGGUAACGGCCCACCAAGGCAACGACGGGUAGCUGGUCUGAGAGGACGAUCAGCCACACUGGAACUGAGACACGGUCCAGACUCCUACGGGAGGCAGCAGUGGGGAAUUUUGCGCAAUGGGCGAAAGCCUGACGCAGCAACGCCGCGUGUGUGAUGAAGGUCUU
rnacentral:rRNA from 1 species